AAUUGCACUUCAUCCUCCAAAUUCCAACCUAUAUUUCUCUCUCUAUCAUUCUUCUUUAAUGUAUAUUACCAUUUGAUCCGAUCCGAUCCUUUUUCUCAAGCAGACAAAGAAAUGGAGGGAGUAUCAACCCGGGUUUACAGAGGAUUAAAGGGUUACUGGAGAAGAAGAGGUUAUCAGAAGUUGAAUCGAAACAACCGGGUCGACUUAUCAACAGAAGGUUCGACCCGAAAACGAAAGUUCUGGAAGAUAAAGUUAACCCCCAAAUUGAAGCUGAAAAUCAAUUUCAAACGAUUUUCGCUGAAGAAGCUUCUUAUUGGACUGCGUGAUGCUUAUGUGAACGCGAUGCUGAGGGUUGCGAAUACUCGAGGAUUCGGCGGCGAGUACGGCGGCGGAAUCGACGGAUUUGGGAUGCGGCGAGUUAAGGAGUACGAUGAGAAAAUGCUGGUGGAGAUCUAUAAGUCUAUGAUAAUUGCUCAGGGAAAAUUAGGUACUCGUGCUGCUGCUAAAAUUGGACCUGAGAUUAAUGUAAACGGUAAUUAAUCAACGAAUCAUGAGUAUUCAUCUUCUUCUUUUUGAGAUUCUGUUACUUAAUUUUACAAAAAAAAUGAUGGUGAAUCUUGCAGACCGGAAAAAAAUUUGUUGUAAAUUGUAACGCUA
rnacentral:misc_RNA from 1 species